AGUGGCGCACGGGUGCGUAACGCGUAUGCAACCUACCUUCACCAGGGGGAUAGCCCGGAGAAAUUCGGAUUAAUACCGCAUAAGAUGGUACGGCCGCAUGGUCGAGCCAUUAAAGGGAUCUGGGUGAAGAUGGGCAUGCGUCUGAUUAGCUAGUUGGAGUGGUAACGGCACCCCAAGGCGAUGAUCAGUAGGGGUUCUGAGAGGAAGAUCCCCCACACUGGCACUGAGAUACGGGCCAGACUCCUACGGGAGGCAGCAGUAGGGAAUAUUGGGCAAUGGUCGGAAGACUGACCCAGCCAUGCCGCGUGCAGGAAGAAGGGUCUCUGACCUGUAAACUGCUUUAGCAGGGGAAGAAAAGGACUGUGCGCAGUUGAUUGACGGUACCCUGAGAAUAAGCACCGGCUAACUCCGUGCCAGCAGCCGCGGUAAUACGGGGGGUGCGAGCGUUGUCCGGAUUUAUUGGGUUUAAAGGGUGCGUAGGCGGCUAUAUAAGUCGGCGUUUAAAAGCCACAGCUCAACUGUGGAGCUGGCACCGAUACUGUAUAGCUUGAGUGCGAUGGAGGCAGGCGGAAUUUAUGGUGUAGCGGUGAAAUGCAUAGAUACCAUAAGGAACACCGAUAGCGAAGGCAGCUUGCCACGCCGCAACUGACGCUGAGGCACGAAAGCGUGGGGAUCAAACAGGAUUAGAUACCCUGGUAGUCCACGCCGUAAACGAUGAUUACUCGAUGUU
rnacentral:rRNA from 1 species